AGUCCUAUUCUAACCAAAUUCCCAAAAAAUAUAACCGCUAAGCAUUAGACCAGUCUUAUUCUCCUAGUAUUCUAAUGAAUAACGAGACUUUUCCCUAAAAACCAGUGCAAAUUAAAGACUGGAGUCUUAAUAGGAUUAGACUCUCGAUUGACCACUUGAAAAGGCUGCCCUUACUAAUCAUACUCUAUUUUAAAAAACACUCCACACACUCCUAAUUUGUUCCAUAACCACUAUUAAAUGCUGAGCAUCCUUCUUCUCCAAAAUCACCAAAAAUCCCCAAAAUCUUCAUAAAUCCUUCACCAUGUCUAACCCUAAAGAAAAUCUAGGGACACUCUUAUCGGAAUCUACCAAUACGUCUUCAUCUGCACCCCCUAGAGACAACCCUAAACCUAGAUUCCAACGGCAAAAGAUGUUGGCAAGACUGUAGCCACUAGUGCUCUGAGAACGACUUUAAACGAAAAAUUGAGAGCCAGCCAAAAAGGGGAGCACUCUAAAAAAGAAUCAUCUGACUCAAGUUCCGAGUCUGACACUUUUGUUUCUGUAAGCGAUGGAGAAGAACGGGGGUAUUCUGACACAGACAAAAAUCAAGAAAACCCUAGAAUAGUAAAUACAUGAUAUGGUUCCUCUGAUGCAGUCGACAAUGAAGAAAAUAAAUUGGUUUUAGUGGGUCCUUUGAGAGAUGUGAAGGGGGAUGAAUCUAAUCGAAGAGGAAGGAUUAAGAAAGACGAAAUUCUUCCGAUUUGAGGAAAUGUUGAGGAGAGUGGAAACAAGUCAGGGGGAAAUAGCUCCGGGGAUGCUGCUGAAGGUCUUGUUCACCUGAGUAAACAACAAGUUAAAAGUGGUUCAUCUGGUGAAGAAACCCUAGCUGACCUCCUGAAAAACAUUGGGGGCAGUUAUGAUCCAAAGAAGCGAUGGCUUCUUCCCUAAAAGCUCCAAGUGCUUCCAAGCCAACAAAGAAAACCAAAAUAUCAUCCCCUAAGUCUACUGUCCCCUCAAAAGCAACUAGAAGCAGGGUUAAAAAAAGUGAGAAACAAUUGCAGAAAGCACUGGAAUAAAGCAUGAAGAAAAAGAGAGAAAAAGGGAAGGCGAAAAUUGUGGAGAGUAUCAAGUUAAAAGAAUAAGAAGAAGAGGAAAUGGACCUGGUCCAUCAAGAAUGAGGAACAACUGAAAAAGUACCAUCACCCAAACCAAGAGGUUCCAAGACUUCAACUAAAAAGACUUCCUCUGUACCCAUAUCUGCUGAGUCCUCAUUGGGCACAAGAACUAGGUCUGCCGGGAAAAUUAAAACAAAAUAAAAUUAUUGAAGAAGAAGAAUAAUGGAGUGGAGAAGAAAAGGAGGAGGAAUCUGAAAAGGAACAGGAUAAAUUUGUCCUCUUUGGCAGGAGAAAGAUCUUGAAAGGACGAAUUCUGAAAGACCUGGACGAGCCAAGCAUGAAAGGAUUGAUUGAUGCCCUGAAUGCACAAGGAUGGAAGAACAUGGUUCUUCAACUAGAUGGAAAACUCGCAAGAAAUGAGUUUAUCGAAUUUAUGGUAAAUGCCACAGUAGUGAAUGAGAUUGUUACCAGUCUGGUGAAAGGGGUCAAGGUACAGUUUGAUCAAACUGGCAAGAAAUGAGUUGAUAGAAUUUAUGGAAAAUGCCACAGUGGUAAAUGGGGUUGUUACUAGUCUGGUGAAAGGGCUCAAGGUACAGUUUGAUGCUCCUAAAUUGAG
rnacentral:lncRNA from 1 species